rnacentral:rRNA from 1 species
UGGAACAAUGUAGGCAAGGAAAGUCGGCAAAAUGAAUCCAUAACUUCGUGAAAAGAAAUAUGCUCGGAGUGUUUGGCAUGGGGGUCCUAGUACCAAACCCACUGGCUGUCGAUGAACUGCAUGAGCUGAUCCCGCGGAAAUAGUUGGUCGCCGUGUGCCGACCGGGGGACGGACUGGGAACGGUUCCUUCGGGGGCCUUCCCCGGGAGUCAAACAACCAAGUCAUAACUGUUACAAACAAGGGGAAUUUGACUAUUUAUUUAAAACAAAGCACUGUGAUGGUCCCAACGGAUGUUUACACAAUGUGAUUUUUGUCUAGUGCUAUGAAUGUCAAAGUGAAGAAAUUCAACCAUGCGGGGGUAAACGGUCGGAGUAACUAUGACUCUUUUAAGGUAGCCAAAUGCCUCUUCAUCUAAUUAAUGAUUCGUAUGAAUGUAUUAAUAAUAUUUCCACUGUCUCUGUCUAAUAUACAACGAAACCACAGCCAGGGGAACAUGAUUGG